rnacentral:rRNA from 1 species
AGAGUUUGAUCAUGGCUCAGGAUAAACGCUGGCGGCGUGCAUGAGACAUGCAAGUCGAACGGUCAAUCGGGCUUGCUCGAUUGAUAGUGGCGGACGGCUGAGUAACGCGUAGGUGACCUGCCCCGAAGUGGGGAAUAACUGCCCGAAAGGGUGGCUAAUACCGCAUGUUGUGUCACGUUCAAUCGUGACUCCAAAGCCGUAAGGCGCUUCGGGAGGGGCCUGCGUCCGAUUAGCUCGUUGGUGGGGUAACGGCUCACCAAGGCGACGAUCGGUAGGUGGUCUGAGAGGACGAUCACCCAGACUGGGACUGAGACACGGCCCAGACUCCUACGGGAGGCAGCAGUCGGGAAUUUUGGGCAAUGGGCGAAAGCCUGACCCAGCAACGCCGCGUGAGGGAUGAAGGCCUUCGGGUCGUAAACCUCUUUUCUCAGGGACGAUAAUGACGGUACCUGAGGAAUAAGCCACGGCUAACUACGUGCCAGCAGCCGCGGUAAUACGUAGGUGGCGAGCGUUGUCCGGAUUUACUGGGCGUAAAGAGCGCGCAGGCGGUCGUAUUAGUCGAAUGUGAAAGCCCCCGGCUCAACUGGGGAGGGUCAUUCGAUACUGUUCGACUCGAAGGCAGGAGAGGGAAGUGGAAUUCCCGGUGUAGUGGUGAAAUGCGUAGAUAUCGGGAGGAACACCAGUGGCGAAGGCGACUUCCUGGCCUGUUCUUGACGCUGAGGCGCGAAAGCUAGGGGAGCAAACGGGAUUAGAUACCCCGGUAGUCCUAGCCGUAAACGAUGGACACUAGGUGUUGGCGGUAUCAACCCCCGCCAGUGCCGUAGCUAACGCAU